CCUACGGGGUGCAGCAGUGAGGAAUAUUGGUCAAUGGACGCAAGUCUGAACCAGCCAUGCCGCGUGCAGGAAGACGGCUCUAUGAGUUGUAAACUGCUUUUGUACGAGGGUAAACGCAGAUACGCGUAUCUGUCUGAAAGUAUCGUACGAAUAAGGAUCGGCUAACUCCGUGCCAGCAGCCGCGGUAAUACGGAGGAUUCAAGCGUUAUCCGGAUUUAUUGGGUUUAAAGGGUGCGUAGGCGGUCGGAUAAGUUAGAGGUGAAAUCCCGAGGCUCAACUUCGGAAUUGCCUCUGAUACUGUUCGGCGAGAGAGUAGUUGCGGUAGGCGGAAUGUAUGGUGUAGCGGUGAAAUGCUUAGAGAUCAUACAGAACACCGAUUGCGAAGGCAGCUUACCAAGCUACUUCUGACGUUGAGGCACGAAAGCGUGGGGAGCAAACAGGAUUAGAUACCCGUGAGUC
rnacentral:rRNA from 1 species